rnacentral:rRNA from 1 species
AUUGAACGCUGGCGGCAGGCCUAACACAUGCAAGUCGAACGGUAGCACAGAGGAGCUUGCUCCUUGGGUGACGAGUGGCGGACGGGUGAGUAAUGUCUGGGAAACUGCCCGAUGGAGGGGGAUAACUACUGGAAACGGUAGCUAAUACCGCAUAACGUCGCAAGACCAAAGAGGGGGACCUUCGGGCCUCUUGCCAUCGGAUGUGCCCAGAUGGGAUUAGCUAGUAGGUGGGGUAACGGCUCACCUAGGCGACGAUCCCUAGCUGGUCUGAGAGGAUGACCAGCCACACUGGAACUGAGACACGGUCCAGACUCCUACGGGAGGCAGCAGUGGGGAAUAUUGCACAAUGGGCGCAAGCCUGAUGCAGCCAUGCCGCGUGUAUGAAGAAGGCCUUCGGGUUGUAAAGUACUUUCAGCGAGGAGGAAGGCGUUGUGGUUAAUAACCGCAGCAAUUGACGUUACUCGCAGAAGAAGCACCGGCUAACUCCGUGCCAGCCGCCGCCGUAAUAC